UGGGGAGUCGGCCCGGAAGUUGAUUGUCUUGAUGCUGAUGAUGAACUGAACAGAGCACCAUACACUGAUUGAUUAUUUUUUUCUGGACUGAACAGAGCACCAUAAAUUGCUGACACCACAAAAUAGUUGCAUAGACUCUGCACCUGUAAUCUGAAUGAUCUCACAUCGAAGACCCUCAAAACGAAAAUCACAUAUCUAUCAGUGAUUUUUUCCCAACUUUUUUCUAUUAAGAUACCCUUCGUACAAAACUACAACCAGAUGGUUCUGCACUUCUACUACAACCUUGUUCAUCUAUUGCACUAGCCAAAUACUACUACUACUCUAUCUACCCGUGUUAUUGUGAAAAUGAAGGAAUAAACAGUGCAAAAAUCUGUUCAGCAUCAAGUGCAGAAACUACUCACAAAGAAAACUUUCUUUUCUGCACGGCAUAAGUCCGCGACUUUCUUGAACAAUUCGCAAUCGGCGGGUUCCCUCCGGAAGAGGGCAUCAGAACAGAACAUUUGUUUAGUAGGCAUUCGUUUAUUCUGUUCUUGGUUUCUUCAGCAAUCAGUGCGACAGCGAGGCGAAGCGAUGGAGCAAACUGACACUGCUACUGCGACAGGUUGCACAUGCCGGGGUGGAGCGAGCACCAGAGCGGCUGGAUGGGCUCGGCGCGGAU